AGGAUAGUGCGUAGUUGGUGUGCCUCGCUGCACCUUAGCACCUAGGUACGUGCCUCACAUGCUUUUGACAACAUAGCUUGAAUGUCAUUUUUAUGCUUUUGUAACGCCAAAUUUUGAUGAAUUCAUGAAGGAGAUAGCUUACGAAGGAGUUGAAAUACUUGACAAUGAUAAUGUUGGGAAAGGAGUAGAGGAAUACUCGGCUGCGGAUAUAGAUGGCAUUCGUGAAGAUUGGUCGACUUGUGCGGUUACCUCUAUUUUUAAGUGACAAAUCGUAUUUUAGGUGUUGACGAUGUAUUGACAAACAAUUCUUUUUUUUUUGUUAACGUUAAAAUAUUUGUAGUAUACUUGACAAAUGAUUAUGUAAUGGAUUGUUUUGGUAUA